UAUGCUACUAUACUAUAUUACUCUACAAUAUAUUACUAUUAUCUCUGCUACACUAUAAACUAUCUUCUACUGUUACUCUUCACACUGUCACUACACCUCACAGUGACAAAAUCCUGGAUUUGCUGAUUAACUGAAGUAAAUGACAUAAUUUCUGAUUCUAUUUGAAGUAAGUUAGCAAUCUCUUACUGGAAAUAGAAACAAAGUAACACAAUACUUACUGACUGAGGAUUUCUCUGAAAAAUAUGAUUAAAAAACUGCUUUUACUGUUAACAAAUGUUUCUAUAUUGAUAACUCAUCAGUUCUCUAGUGAUUACUUACAUUCUUCUUUGAAAUAUUAAUACCAGAGGCAGGGGAAGAAAUCUCUUGAUAGCUUAUCAGAAUCAAGAUUUGCUCAGAGAUUCUGAUUCUCUAUAUUCUUUGUAAAAUCAUAUAUUCUAUAAUUCUAUUUACUUCUGUGUUGUCAGUUAUGAUUCUAUUUACUUCUACAAAUUUUGUGUUAUCAGUGAAACAACAAAGAUUCACUGUCACUUGUGAUUGUAAAUUAUCUACAAUUACUCUACAAUUUUUUGGCCUGCUGGAACAGCAGCUCUUUCAGAGAGGAC
rnacentral:sRNA from 1 species